GGGGUUCGACGUUUGAGAAUAAAACCCCCUCCAUGGAUACGCAUAAGCCAAGACGAAAUUCCAAUUGGUUUUCCUCCGUUGGUUGCAUUAAAUUGUAUUGCCGUUCAUACAAAUAAUUUAAUGAGUAUCAAUCAACGAAAAUAUUAUGUAUGUAAGAUGUGUUGGAAAAACGUUAUAUUCUAUAAAUAGCUGAAAGCCGUUACUUUAAAAAUCAUUUGAAAUCAGAUGAUCUCGCACAUUCGAUUAUAAAAUCUCUUUUGCCAAUUGCUGUUCUCGGUUCUUUUGUGCCUGCCGACUAUACGUCGCUGUUUUUUCCAAAACGUCUGAACUAAUC